GCGAGAGUGGCGGAAUUGGCAGACGCACUGGACUUAGGAUCCAGCGCCUUGUGGCUUGCGGGUUCGAGUCCCGCCUCUCGCA
rnacentral:tRNA from 1 species